CACGCGCGCGAUUCCAGCCC
rnacentral:miRNA from 1 species